rnacentral:rRNA from 1 species
CAGCCGCCGCGGUAAUACGAAGGGUGCAAGCGUUACUCGGAAUUACUGGGCGUAAAGCGUGCGUAGGUGGUGGUUUAAGUCCGUUGUGAAAGCCCUGGGCUCAACCUGGGAAUUGCAGUGGAUACUGGGUCACUAGAGUGUGGUAGAGGAUAGUGGAAUUUCCGGUGUAGCAGUGAAAUGCGUAGAGAUCGGAAGGAACAUCUGUGGCGAAGGCGACUAUCUGGGCCAACACUGACACUGAGGCACGAAAGCGUGGGGAGCAAACAGGAUUAGAUACCCCAGAAGUCCCUGUCUCUUAUAC